rnacentral:rRNA from 1 species
AGACUGCGGAUAACAUACCGAAAGGUAUGCUAAUACGGGAUAAUAUAUUUGAGAGGCAUCUCUUAAAUAUCAAAGGUGAGCCAGUACAGGAUGGACCCGCGUCUGAUUAGCUAGUUGGUAAGGUAACGGCUUACCAAAGCAACGAUCCGUCGCCGACCUGAUAGGUUGACCCACCACAUUGGAACUGAGACACGAUCCAAACUCCUACGAGUGGCCGCAGUGGGGAAUAUUGCACAAUGUGCUAAAGCCUGAUGCAGCAACACCACGUUAGUGCGGAAAGCCUUCGUGUCGUACAACUCUGUCCUCAAG